GGGUCAGUAGGUUGGUCGUGCCACCGGUACGUACUGGUCUCACUGAUUCCUCAUUCCUGAAGAACCGUAAUGCCAUUAAUUUGGUGUUGCGGGGAAACAGGACUGUUACUUUGAAAAAAUUAGAGUGUUUAAAGCAAGCUAACGCUUGAAUACAUUAGCAUGGAAUAACGAAAUAGGACGAUCGAUCCUAUUUUGUUGGUUUCUAGGAUUGACGUA
rnacentral:rRNA from 1 species